GAUGAACGCUGGCGGCGUGCCUAAUACAUGCAAGUCGAGCGAACAGAUAAGGAGCUUGCUCCUUUGACGUUAGCGGCGGACGGGUGAGUAACACGUGGGUAACCUACCUAUAAGACUGGAAUAACUCCGGGAAACCGGGGCUAAUGCCGGAUAACAUUUAGAACCGCAUGGUUCUAAAGUGAAAUAUGGUUUUGCUAUCACUUAUAGAUGGACCCGCGCCGUAUUAGCUAGUUGGUAAGGUAACGGCUUACCAAGGCAACGAUACGUAGCCGACCUGAGAGGGUGAUAGGCCACCCUGGAACUGAGACACGGUCCAGACUCCUAAGGGAGGCAGCAGUAGGGAAUCGUACGCAAUGGGCGAAAGCCUGACGGAGCAACGCCGCGUGAGUGAUGAAGGUCUUCGGAUCGUAAAACUCUGUUAUUAGGGAAGAACAAAUGUGUAAGUAACUGUGCACGUCUUGACGGUACCUAAUCAGAAAGCAACGGCUAACUACGUG
rnacentral:rRNA from 1 species